rnacentral:rRNA from 1 species
UGCCUACGGGGGGCAGCAGUGGGGAAUAUUGCACAAUGGGGGAAACCCUGAUGCAGCGACGCCGCGUGAGCGAAGAAGUAUUUCGGUAUGUAAAGCUCUAUCAGCAGGGAAGAAAAUGACGGUACCUGACUAAGAAGCCCCGGCUAAAUACGUGCCAGCAGCCGCGGUAAUACGUAGGGGGCAAGCGUUAUCCGGAUUUACUGGGUGUAAAGGGAGCGUAGACGGCAGCGCAAGUCUGGAGUGAAAUGCCGGGGCUCAACCCCGGAACUGCUUUGGAAACUGUGCAGCUAGAGUGCGGGAGAGGG